AAUUAUGAAAAUAUUGAGCUUUGAAAAUGACUCACCAAGAGAAAGUAAGCUGGUAUUAAUAAUAUAGUAAGAUAUGUAAGUAGGACCAUAUACGUAUACAGAUAGAAACACGAGUAUUGCGAGAGUAUUAAAAGACCAUUACCUAAAGAUAAGACAAAGUGAAAAUAAAAAAGAACAAAAAAACAGGUCACGUGAGAUCAGCGAUACUUCGCAUAGCUUAAACUUGUAGUUCCGUCAUAACUCGUACUAAGAGGUACAUUGAGCUACCCGAGGUUAUUAUGUAUUAUGAAUCCGCACAAUGGUCGAUGAAUUCGUUGAAAAAAAAAUAAUAUGAAAAAGUGUAAAAAUUGCUAAAAAAAAAUUGGUAAUUCAUUUCGUAAAUGGCAGGUGCAGUUUUUUUUGCAUUACUCGCAGAGGUUACGGUACAUCAUUCAAAUCGAAUGUGAUGACUUUCCGUUCGGAUAACCAUAUAGAAUGGCUGUUAGGAGUAGAUUUAAAAAAUAGGUUUCAAAAAAUUCUGCCAUUUUGUCCAUUGAAAAUUAUCGGUCCUUCCAAUACGAGCGAAAUGGAUUAUUGACUUUAAAAAAUGUCACUCUGCUUUAACGAGAAUACGUGUCACUAUAUCACUAUGCUAAUAGCUUCUCCAUACAUAGAGGAACUCGAGGCUUCUCUCUUAACUUCGUACUACCUACACUUACCUGUCAGAUUCCAGUAUGCAUGACCAUUCAAGGAUUGGCUACGCGUCAUCAGGUGGAAAUAGCAACGCCUGUCGCCGAUGCGUAGGCGACCUGCCAAUAUCUCGUUCCUUGUAUGAGAAAAAUGGCGACUGGAGAAAGAAAUGACAAAAUUUUGUGAAGAUCGUUGAAUAUUUUUUCAUCAAGUUCAAAAUACAAUAUGACGAAGAUGGCUACUUAACACAGAGAAUCAUUGUACUGCGGUCAUUGAUACAAGAUAAGGAACAAGAUGCAUCCUAGCUCGAACUACCUGGUGCAUCGUGGAGCUGUUAAUCGUAGUUAUUCGACCGACGGUGAAGAAAGUCAACGAGCUCCUUCCGAUCGUACAAUGUCAGAAUACAUUGUUGCCAACGAGCAUGCUUCCAUGGUGAAGCCAAUGGUUCCAUCUCGAAAGAAUCGUGGCGAAAAGCACGAGAGGAGAUCACGAAGUGCGCAUGGCGGACGUGGUUCUGUAUUAUCUGGUGCAUCCAGACAGAGUUUGAAUCAUUUAAACAAAAGUGCAUCUCAUGGUAGUCUUUGUGACAAUGGUUCAGAUAUUUAUGUAACAAGUGCAGCGUACAAGGCGCCUUCAGAAAUAAGUCGAGGCUCGCACUAUAGUUUAGCUCCAAGUUUGAGGGCUGGACACAAAGCACCGAGUCACUACAGUUAUCGUUCCGGCAGAUCCGGAACUUCGACAGUGAAGACGCGAACGUCCCGGAAAGGUGGUGUCGUUGUAGAAACAAUGUCUGCACCGAAUCCAUUUUGUCCCAACACUAAAGGCAUCUGCUGUUUAAUGCUGCUACUCAACCUUGGCUUGAUACUCAUUACUCUGGGUUUUGUUAUAGUCAUACAACUUUUUGAACCACUCUUUGUCUGGAUUUUGGGGAUUGUCUUUCUUAUCUUUGGCUUUCUUACGCUAAUCGGUAGUUUAGUGUAUUGCGUACAUGUCUUCAGGAAUGCCAAACAUCCUCAUGACAUACAUCCGGAAGAUUUGUACUGGACAAGGCACUGGCAAGGACGAGUAGGGUCACCACCAGAAAUUCAUUAUAAAGCAGAGGACAAAUAUCAAGAUGAUGGUUAUAGCGACCGUUAUAGUAAAUAUUCAGGCAAGAUGUCUGACAGGCAUAGUCAACGUUAUUAAGCUUUGAAGACUUACUAAUUAAGAGAUUUCUUGACAACUUUCUUGAACUGUGAGGUGCGUUAAUUAGGGGUGCAAUGAAAACUUGCUUUCUGUGGAUGAAGAUCGGAUG